rnacentral:lncRNA from 1 species
AAUGUAAAAAUCUUGAAGUAAAUAAUGAGAUAAAUCUAAAUUUCGUAAAUUGUAUCAUUCUACAUACACUUUUCAACUAACAUUGUUAAAUAGCUUUGGGUGUCGACUUGUCAGGUAAUUUCUAAACGACAGUGCGUACCCCUUGGCGACCCUCGUUGAAUUUUGUGCUCCAUUUAAAUUCACAGGCAUUCGGUCAGCGGACAUUAAAAACGUUGUGUUUUUGUAAAAAUGGUCAAAGCUCUGAUAGUAGUAUUCGUACUGGGUGUGUUAUCAGGUCAGGGUUCACAAGCUAUAGACUGCUGUGAUAGUUAUACGGAUGUACUAGGCUACUAUCAUCCAUCACAGUUAUGUCUUGACUACUGCUGCUGGACAAUAGGAGUGGCAUACAAAGGCUGCUGUAGCAAUAUAUUAAGACUGAUUCCCUCCUCUGAAAAUAAGACCCACGAAUGUUUUGACCACUGGGUUAAUGAGAACGAAUGGUGGCUCAAAUGGUUGGUAACGCUGAUUCCUGUUGGUAUUUUUUGGUGCUUAUCAAGUUUUUGUCGUUGCUUCAUAUGGAUCUUGCGCUUUUGAUUAUAUAUACCAACAUCAUCAUCUACAGCUGCUAUGACUAGUACUUACAACAUGCAGUUUCACGAUGAGUUUGACUAAUAGAAGACAUCAAUACUUAGCAAAUAACGGAAUAACAGGAAUGGACACAACAUUCAGAUGGGAAAAAAUAUUGAACUAGUUUUAAAAACAAACCAUUGUAUUUCGUAUCGAAAUACUUGUAAACAGGCAAAUAUAUGCAAUAUUUAGCUCACCUGAGCGCGAAGUGCUUAAGGCGAGCUUUUGUGAUCGCCUUUGUGUCCGUCGUCCGUCAU